rnacentral:rRNA from 1 species
UACGAAGGGUGCAAGCGUUAUUCGGAAUCACUGGGCGUAAAGGGCGUGUAGGCGGCCUUAUAAGUCGACUGUUAAAGAUCAUGGCUUACCCAUGAGAGUGCGGUCGAUACUGUAGGGCUAGAGACUGGGAGAGAGAAGUGGAAUUCUCGGAGUAGCGGUAAAAUGCGUAGAUCUCGAGAGGAACACCGAUUGCGAAGGCAGCUUCUUGGCCCAAGUCUGACGCUGAGGCGCGAAAGCGUGGGGAGCAAACAGG